AUGCCUCUAACCAUACAGACCGCUUUGAAACCCCCGGCUGAUCUGUUUGUGUUCAGCAAAGGAGAAAAUUUGUCUGCCUGUUGGACCAGUCCACUUGAAGAUCCACCAGAUGGUUACCACAUCACCUCCCACCCUGUAGAUGAUCCCAUUGCCUCCUCUCUGUGGGCUAACCUGUCUUAUUCGGGAGAUAAUAAUAAAAUGUGUGCUCAGUUGGGCACAUUUACACCUGGUCAGACAUACGAGGUGGGAGUCACAGCUGUGAGAGGAAAAGACAGAAGUGAAAAAACUAGUAUCAGACACACCACAGCUCCAUUGCCUGUAAAGGUGGCUGUUCCAUUUUUGGUGGGCACAAAAAAUACACAACUAUACAUUCAACCUCCAAAGAUGGGCCUGAUAGACAGAGUGAAAGUGUGUGCAUGUCCUGGAGUUUGUGACAGAGAGUGUGAGGUUAUAUGCGAGUAUCAGUGUGAGUGGUACUCCCUACCUGCUGAUAUCAAUAUUGUAACUAUUAGCAACCUUAAUCCAGGAUCGCAGUACCAACUUGUCAUAUACAGCAUCAGUGGACAGCGGACUGGACCACCAUAUUACACCCAACCCAUCAAAACAAGCUUGGCUCCUCCCAGAGGUCUCAGGGAGGGAGAGGUGACAGAGUCAUCAAUACAGCUACUUUGGGAUCCACUUCAAGAACAGACAAGCAGUUACGAGGUCAUCUGUCUGAACUGUGAACCCUCUCUUAGGGUAAGAUAAAUGCACACAUGUGACUCAGGUCGUUUCAGCUCACUUUCAACAGGUUCAGGUAUAAUAUAUAGA
rnacentral:lncRNA from 1 species